rnacentral:rRNA from 1 species
GAUCCUGGCUCAGGAUGAACGCUAGCUACAGGCUUAACACAUGCAAGUCGAGGGGAAACGACAUUGAAAGCUUGCUUUUAAUGGGCGUCGACCGGCGCACGGGUGCGUAACGCGUAUCGAACCUGCCCUUUACUCAGGGAUAGCCUUGCGAAAGUAAGAUUAAUACCUGAUAGUGUUGCGAUGGAGGCAUCUUGUUGCAAACUAAAGAUUUUAUUGGGUAAAGGAUGGCGAUGCGU